UACGGGGGGGGCAAGCGUUGUUCGGAAUUACUGGGCGUAAAGGGUGCGUAGGCGGUCCGCUAAGUUGGAUGUGAAAACUCUGGGCUUAACCCAGAGCCUGCAUUCAAAACUGACGGGCUAGAGUUCUGGAGGGGGUAGCGGAAUUCCUGGUGUAGCGGUGAAAUGCGUAGAUAUCAGGAGGAACACCGGUGGCGAAGGCGGAUCUCUGGGCCUGUUCUGACGCUGAGGCGCGAAAGCUAGGGGAGCGAACAGG
rnacentral:rRNA from 1 species